rnacentral:rRNA from 1 species
GACGAACGCUGGCGGCGUGCCUAAUACAUGCAAGUCGAGCGGACCAAAGGGAGCUUGCUCCUGGAGGUUAGCGGCGGACGGGUGAGUAACACGUGGGCAACCUGCCUGUAAGACUGGGAUAACAUCGAGAAAUCGGUGCUAAUACCGGAUAAUAAAAAGAACUGCAUGGUUCUUUUUUGAAAGAUGGUUUCGGCUAUCACUUACAGAUGGGCCCGCGGCGCAUUAGCUAGUUGGUGGGUAACGGCUCACCAAGGCGACGAUGCGUAGCCGACCUGAGAGGGUGAUCGGCCACACUGGGACUGAGACACGGCCCAGACUCCUACGGGAGGCAGCAGUAGGGAAUCUUCCGCAAUGGACGAAAGUCUGACGGAGCAACGCCGCGUGAGUGAUGAAGGUUUUCGGAUCGUAAAACUCUAGUUGUUAGGGAAGAACAAGUGCCGUUCGAAAGGGCGGCACCUUGACGGUACCUAACGAGAAAGCCACGGCUAACUACGUGCCAGCAGCCGCGGU